rnacentral:lncRNA from 1 species
ACUUACAUAUAAAGAGGACUUUCUCUGUGAAAUUUUUAAAAAAUCACUUGUUUUACGAAAGUUUUUAUUGAGAAAAGUCUGUGAGGGGCAUAUUAACAGUCGUCUGCACGUUAAGCCCUGGGCAAACUAGGAAACAUUGUUGCGGAAACAUUGUUUCCUACCAAUGUUUCGCCAUGUUUCCAAGAGUGGGCAAACACUAGGGAACAUCAGUGAGAAACAUAGGGAAACAUCAAAUGUUUCUGAAUUCGCUAGAAAGCUAUUUUUGCUUCUCGGGAAGCAAAUUUUGUUUCCGCAACAAUUAAUGUUUCCAAAGAGGGAAACAUUUGAGGAAACAUCGAGAAUCACAAAUGUUUACACAACAAUGUUCCUAGUUUUCCUAGGGCUUAACAAGUUGUUAACAAGUUGAUGACAACAAGCUCGUAGCAACUUGUUACGAACAGCCUGUAUUGGUCUUGUUGGAACAAUUUGUAGCAAGUCUGUUACCGUCAUCAACCUUGUAACAAGGUGAUAACAACUUGUUCCAGACUUGUCACAACAACUGGGAACAAGCAGUGCGAACACAUCCUGAUAUCGGUUUGACAACAAUCUUGUUACAACUUGUUUACAGAACUGUAACAACUUGCGCGUUCUUACGUGUGUCUAAUAGGGGUUCCAAUAUAGUGUUUUACUAAAAUUAGGAGGUUUAAAACAGCCGUGCACAGCAUGAUACUCAGUGGAUGAAUUUCUUUCCUGAUUGAAAACAUUACGAGAAGAUGGUGCUGUCGAUGUGAUCAGAUGACAGACGCGACGAUUAGUCGAUUACGGCCGAACAGCACCAUCCACUGGAUAGUGAUAGAUAGAUGAUUUAUUCAGUUUUAAAAGACUUUACAGCUGAUAAUGGCUGAAUUGCGUUAAAACGUUACAAUUAUAAAAAUUUAAGAAACCUAAUGAUUAAAAAUAUUUACAAUUACUAACAAUAAAAAAUUCAUAAACCGAUCAGUUUUGGACCUUGGAACGUUAAGUUGCCUUUUACGUCUCAGUUGGUAUGAACAGUUAUUUUCAGAUGGUAGUAGAGAUCUGAGUUUGUGGGAUAAUAUUUUGAACCGUUGCAAAACUGCGCUCAGAGUUGUAAAACUACGGUUAUGAACUUCGCAAUUAAUAAAAAGAAACCUCAAUUUAUAAAUACUGAAAUUUAAUCUGGCUUUUCACAAUAACGCACAAUUUUAGCAUGCUUGAAUAAGUCACUAUCCGCAUGGUGCACACGUAAAAACGCAGAAGUUGUUACAGGUCUGCAAACAAGUUGCUACAAAUCUGUUCACAAGCUGUCGACAAGUUGUGUUCGCACUGCUUGUUCCCAGUUGUUGUAACAAGUUUGGAACAAGCUGUUAACAACUUGUAACAAGCUUGAUGGCAUUAUCAGACUUGUUACAAGGUUGUUCUAACAAGUCUGAUGCAGUCAUGACAUAACAGGAAUGUUACAAGGUUGACGACACAAGGUUGUAACAAUAUUGUUAUAUCACGACUGUAUCGGACUUGUUGGACCAACCUUGUAACAAGUCUGAUAAUAUCAACAAGGUUGUUACAAGU